AAAAACAAAAAAGCGCCAGACCUUUACGGUUAACGAGGGAUAGAGUCAUCGAGUUUUUCGGCGGGAGCUCUAUAGGUAACACAGCCUUAGCAUUUAACAAAGUUCAAAAGUAAUUUUGAAACAAAAAUAAUGAAGUGUAUCU
rnacentral:ncRNA from 2 species